CUGGCGGCGUGCCUAACACAUGCAAGUCGAACGAGAAUCGACGAACGGCGACUUCGGUCAAAGGAAGUUGAGGAAAGUGGCGAACGGGUGAGUAACGCGUGAGGAACCUACCUUUCAGUGGGGGGACAACAGUUGGAAACGACUGCUAAUACCGCAUAAUGUAUCGGGAAGGCAUCUUCCUGAUACCAAAGCUUUAUGUGCUGAAAGAUGGCCUCGCGUCUGAUUAGCUAGUUGGUGGGGUAACGGCUCACCAAGGCGACGAUCAGUAGCCGGUCUGAGAGGAUGAACGGCCACAUUGGGACUGAGACACGGCCCAAACUCCUACGGGAGGCAGCAGUGGGGAAUCUUCCGCAAUGGGCGCAAGCCUGACGGAGCAACGCCGCGUGAGUGAAGAAGGUUUUCGGAUCGUAAAGCUCUGUUGAGAGGGACGAGAGAUAUAAUCAGGAAAUGGGUUAUAGAGGACGGUACUUUUCGAGGAAGCCACGGCUAACUACGUG
rnacentral:rRNA from 1 species